AAUUCUCAAAUGACCUAGUCUUUCGAGACUAUGGUUACUUGGAUGUGAGGGUUUUGCUGGCUCUUCCAAGUCCUAGCUCCCUUUAAAUGCAUUAGUGGGUUAGCUUUUUCUAUUCACUUAGAGUGUGAUAAUAUCUACGCUCGUUUUGAAUGCAAAGCUUUUCAAACUCGCUUCUAAUCGUCUUUGAGACAAUUUUUGACU
rnacentral:misc_RNA from 1 species